rnacentral:lncRNA from 1 species
GAGAUGGAGAUUGCAGAGAGCCGAGAUCGCACCAUUGUACUCCACCCUGGAGGACAGAGGGAGAUUGUCUAAAAUACGUAUGUACGUAACAGAAAAGUGCACCAAUCAUCACACCUUGGCAAACUAUUACAAAGUAAAUACACCCGUGUGACUAAUAAUCCAGAUGAAAAAAACACGACUAGCACCCCAGAAGGGAAGCUCAAAACUCCUCCCAAUCAGCCCUGUGUUUCGCAUGUGAUUCUGACCCAUGUCGCCAUAAAUUGGUUUCCUAUAAAUAAAAUCACACAGUAUGAACUCUUUUGUGUUUGGCUUCUUUCACUGAUUGUGAGAUUUGUCUAAAUCCCCAUGAUACAAGAAAGUCAGAGGUUGUCCAGCCCAGCUGUGAAUUAUUU